GUGUUUUGUACUCGUUCGGGAUUCAGGCUGUAUAUGAGUUAGUGAGGACUGAAGAGAGGAGAGUUAAACAAACAAGCAAACAAACAAACACACAGGGCAAGAAAACAGGACCCAACAGCAGACGCUGACACCCUCCCGACCUGCAGUGCAGAGUGAUUCCAAGAACCGCGCGCGACAUUCCGUGUCUCAGGAAAGAUGGUACCCACACUAAGCUCAGCCAAGAACGGCCUCCGCGCCCGCUUAAUUUUCCGAACCUGUUCUUGUGGUGCUGAUGGGGAGGGUGGCCGGGAAGAGAGGAGAGACCACUGAUCAAGUUGCUGUUUGUAUAUUGGUUGAUUGCUGUUUGCUGUUUGUUUAUUGAUUGAUUUUUUUUUAUUGGCCCCUGGCCGAGGAUGAGCUAAGAAGCCUUUUGCAUACCUUGACCUGACCUCACUUAUCCUUCCACACUUCUACACCCUUUUCCUUCCUGCGCAGGGUCCUGAGCAGGUGAUUCAGGCCCACAUUCUCGUCAUUCCCGCCUCGCUGCUCAGCCCCUUUCCUUGGCCUGCAUUUCCUAUUGGUCUAAAUCAAGCAGUGCUUAGAGCCUCCCACAACGGGCCUUCAACCAUAUUUGGAAGAAAAGAAGGAAUCCAGAGAGGAAAUGGUUACCUGUGCUUACAGGCGGUCUGCACCACAAGCGCUGACUCAGCAAGAGGGAACUCUGCGUACCCCUGUCCCGAAAGCCCCUUGAGCAAGGACGUCAGAAAGAGACUAAAAUGGAGGGACAGCCUCCGAGGGCCCUGGAGCAGGGUAACAUGAGAUCUAUGACUAUCUAGUCAUUCGCUACCUGCAUUUGAAAGCAUAUGCAUUAUUAUGGUUGUCACCAUUUAUAGUAGUAUACUUAGACGUUGUCCAUCGAAUCUGGACGCAUACUCAAUUUGAAACUAAAUAAAACCUAAAGGAACAUAGGUGACCAUGAGGGACUCCAGGGAACAUUCUCUGGGACGGAACUCUGUGAAGAGUGGAGAAGAGGCCUCUAGGAUCAAGCUAUUCAUCAUGGAUACAGCCUCAGAUCCAGGACCUCCACCCUCUGGUGCAGUAUUUCCAGGAUAUUAGUGGGGGACUGUGGACCAUUCAAGCCUUGGAACAAGUCUAGCCCAACCACUGUCUAACUUUGCUGCUGACGGAAGCCUGACCCAGCCCUGACCUCGUAGACCUUAUAGGAAUAUGUUCUCAGCUCACUGCUCCACAUUUCUGGCCCUGUGACCUCACCAAACAAACACCUGCCUAUCUCAGAGCAUUGUAUCUAUUCAUGUUGAUUUCUGUCUCUUCCUUAUUAGUCUCUUGCACAAACCAUGAACUGGAUGAAAGCAAGAACGGGAUCGUUUGGGUUCUGUGGGUGACAUCAGGACUUGACUGUGGACUUGACUUGCAUCUGGCACAGCCUGCUCGCCAGCUCCUAUUCCCUUGCCCACCUGUUCUUUGACCUUGAACGCCCAACCCCUUUUUCUUGGCAUCAGUAUCGUCCUCUCUAAGAGCAGAGAUUAGGAUUAAUAAAUCUAUGACGUGCUUGUCACAGGGACUAAUGAGACUGUA
rnacentral:lncRNA from 1 species